CGAGGGUUCGGGAGUUGAGGCCUGGCUUUCGCGGCCGGCUGAAGUAUUUUUUUCACCCAUGUCUUUUGCGCACUUGUUGUUUCCUGGGCGGGUUCGCCCGCCACCAGGACCAAACCAUAACCCUUUUUUUCUUAUGCAGUUUCCAUCAGCGUCAGUAAAAACAAUGUAAUUAUUACAACUUUCAACAACGGAUCUCUUGGUUCUGGCAUCGAUGAAGAACGCAGCGAAAUGCGAUACGUAGUGUGAAUUGCAGAAUUCAGUGAAUCAUCGAAUCUUUGAACGCACAUUGCGCCCUUUGGUAUUCCAAAGGGCAUGCCUGUUCGAGCGUCAUUUGUACCUUCAAGCUUUGCUUGGUGUUGGGCGUUUUUUUGUCUCCCUCUUUCUGGGAGACUCGCCUUAAAACGAUUGGCAGCCGGCCUACUGGUUUCGGAGCGCAGCACAUUUUUUGCGCUUUGUAUCAGGAGAAAAGGACGGUACUCCAUCAAGACUCUACAUUUUUCACUUUUGACCUCGGAUCAGGUAGGGAUACCCGCUGAACUUAAGCAUAUCAAAAGCCGGGAAGGAAA
rnacentral:rRNA from 1 species